UGCAAUGUAGUGUAAUUGGUUAUCAUAAGAGACUCAUGAUCUCUUGAUAUAGGUUCAAAUCCUGUCGUUGCUA
rnacentral:tRNA from 1 species